GGAGGGAUCAUUACACAAAUAUGAAGGCGGGCUGGAACCUCUCGGGGUUACAGCCUUGCUGAAUUAUUCACCCUUGUCUUUUGCGUACUUCUUGUUUCCUUGGUGGGUUCGCCCACCACUAGGACAAACAUAAACCUUUUGUAAUUGCAAUCAGCGUCAGUAACAAAUUAAUAAUUACAACUUUCAACAACGGAUCUCUUGGUUCUGGCAUCGAUGAAGAACGCAGCGAAAUGCGAUAAGUAGUGUGAAUUGCAGAAUUCAGUGAAUCAUCGAAUCUUUGAACGCACAUUGCGCCCUUUGGUAUUCCAAAGGGCAUGCCUGUUCGAGCGUCAUUUGUACCCUCAAGCUUUGCUUGGUGUUGGGCGUCUUGUCUCUAGCUUUGCUGGAGACUCGCCUUAAAGUAAUUGGCAGCCGGCCUACUGGUUUCGGAGCGCAGCACAAGUCGCACUCUCUAUCAGCAAAGGUCUAGCAUCCAUUAAGCCUUUUUUUCAACUUUUGACCUCGGAUCAGGUAGGGAUACCCGCUGAACUUAAGCA
rnacentral:rRNA from 1 species